UACGUAGGCAGCGAGCGUUGUUCGGAGUUACUGGGCGUAAAGAGUGCGUAGGCGGUUUUCUAAGUUUGGUGUGAAAUCUCCCGGCUUAACUGGGAGGGUGCGCCGAAGACUGGAAGGCUUGAGUAUGGGAGAGGUAAGCGGAAUUCCUGGUGUAGCGGUGAAAUGCGUAGAUAUCAGGAGGAACACCGGUGGCGAAGGCGGGUCUCUGGGCAACAACUGACGCUGAGGAGCGAAAGCGUGGGGAGCGAACAGG
rnacentral:rRNA from 1 species